rnacentral:rRNA from 1 species
AUUGAACGCUGGCGGAAUGCUUUACACAUGCAAGUCGAGCGGCAGCGCGGGGGCAACCCUGGCGGCGAGCGGCGAACGGGUGAGUAAUACAUCGGAACGUGUCCUUAAGUGGGGGAUAGCUCGGCGAAAGCCGGAUUAAUACCGCAUAAGCUCUGAGGAGGAAAGCGGGGGCUCCGUAAGGACCUCGCGCUGUUGGAGCGGCCGAUGUCGGAUUAGCUAGUUGGUGGGGAAAGGCCCACCAAGGCGACGAUCCGUAGCUGGUCUGAGAGGAUGAUCAGCCACACUGGAACUGAGACACGGUCCAGACUCCUACGGGAGCAGCAGUGGGGAAUUUUGGACAAUGGGGGCAACCCUGAUCCAGCCAUUCCGCGUGAGUGAAGAAGGCCUGGUUGUAAGUACUC